rnacentral:piRNA from 1 species
UGCUCAGAGAAGAGAAUCCAUCUUCCUCAGG